rnacentral:snRNA from 1 species
AUUUCUUGGCCUUUUGGCUAAGAGCAAGUGUCGUAUCUGUUCUUACCAGUUUAGUGCCUGGUCGGUCCCCUGAGGACAGUGACAGCAACAAAAAUAGAUGCUCCCAUCUGCUUGUGAGAAGUGGAGUGCUC